CGCGCCGACGCGCUGCGGGCCGGGUGGGGGUAGCGAGGGCCGGAAGCCCGGCUCCUCCACGCCGCGUCGCCCCCACAACCUCCCGCCGCCGAGGUUCUCCUCCCCCCACCGCCCUGCGCCCAGCCUCCUGGCGCAGCUCGCGGGGAGAAGUUCCCGAGGCCUCAGCCCCGACAGCCCCUCUCCCCCGCCCAGAGCUGAGCCCCCCUGAGGAUCUGGGGAGCCAGUACCCCUUCGAAGGAGGGGCCGGGUUCCUGGAGCGGGGUGGGCUGUGUAGCCUCCGGAGUAAGGAGAGAGCUGGAGGUGGAGAAACUGAGCCUGGGACCUGCCCUGCCCGGUGAGGACUUAAAAGGCUGUCUCUUACAUCUCUGUUGGAGUCUCACCUAUUCUGGAGCUCUGGGAAGCCUCUGCCACCCAGGACUGUGUUGGGGCUGAGAGGCUGUUACCCCAAAAUAUGGUGCUUUGACAUGCUGGAAUAAAGAAGCAGCCUCAAGGUCUCUCUGACCUCCCCUCCUCCUGUCUCUCAAGCCUCUGUCACUCUGCAAAGCACAGGAAGAGACUGCUCCCUCAUCUGCCUGAAGUCCCGACCCACUGAAGACAGUUACUUCUGGUCCUUUCCCUGAGUCUAAAUGAACUUAAGUCUUAUCAUGGAAAGAAAGACUAAAGUAUGUCAACACACCUGGACAGAAUUUUGUCACUCCUGGACAGACUUUUGACACAUUUAGUGUUUUAAAGAGAAUCAUUUACCAGUCAUUGUCUGCUCUGCGGGCCAAAUAGAUUUUGUCCCAGGCCAUUGUAUGUUCUCCAGGCCCAUUGUGUCCCCUAAAAAUCACUUGUAUGCCCCGUAUCUCCCCUUUCCCUAUGAAGAGGGGUAUAUAAGUUUCUGCACCCCACUGGGUUACCCGGCAGCCGUUCUGUGAUUCCCCCAUGCUAU